CUGGAAUAACAAUAAGCCUCUCUGCUUUCACAAAACCACAGGAGCACCUUUGAAUCACACAACUGUGCUGGACAUACAAACAGAUCAGAGUUUAGAGGAAAAAGAGGAUGGACAAAAAGACAUUGAGAUUGAUGUUGCUCCACUGGGAGAAAUGGAGUGAGAUGUGAGGAGGCGGUGGAGAGGUGUGUGAUGUCUGGAGAGCUGUAUGGUAAUGUGUCUCACGUCCCCCCUCUCUGCCUCCAGACACUCAUCUGUCCUCUCAGCCUCAUUUCAAUCACAACACAGCACUUCAUUUGAGAUUUCUCUGGAAUAAACGCAGCAAAUCCAUGAACCAGACAGAUAAAACAUCACUGCGCUGAAGUCAGAGGAAGAAUCUUCAGAGCUCAGGAGAGGAAGGAUGUUAGAACACUUCAGAAGCAAGUUCUUCAAAGUUAUGGAAAAUUAAUACACAGCAUCACUUCAAAAACCUGAAACAGCCCAAAAUACAAGCAGAAUGACCGGACAAGUGUUGGUGGAGAGCAUGGAUUUAUCAGCCCACAGACUGUCUGUGAAGACUUCUGUUGAAGAUGAGUCAGAGCGUGCCGAUAGCACUCUCAGCCGUGGUCAGUCCAUAUGUGAUGACACUUCAUCAGAAUUACAGCGAGUUGCCACCCUCGAACCACGUGGACUGAAUUCACAGAACUCUUUUCGUGGCAGAGGGGCGCUUUCGAGGUUGGUGAGUAUGGUGGUCACUCUUAGAGACUGGGCCCAUAAGAGCCUUCAGGAAGAGGAAGAAAGGCCAGAUUCUUUCUUAGAGCGCUUCAGAGGACCUGAACUUCAAGUUGCUCCCAGUCGGAUAAGCAUCAGUAGAUCUGAUGCUCAUGAUGGGAACAGCAGCGCCAAAACCAAAAAAAAGUCUGAUGUUUUCAUACUGGCACCCGCUGAUGACCUGUACUACCGCUGGCUGUUUGUUAUUGCCACAGCUGUAUUGUACAACUGGUGCUUUGUGGUGGCUAGGGCCUGCUUUGAUGAGCUUCAAACCAGGAACUUCAUUCUGUGGCUGGUUUUGGAUUAUCUCUCUGAUGUCAUAUAUAUCCUGGACACCUGUGUGAGACUGAGAACAGGUUUCCUUGAGCAGGGUCUUCUGGUGAAGGACCUUACCAAGUUAAGAGAAAGCUACUUUCAUACUUUGCAGUUCAAGCUAGACCUGCUAUCCAUACUACCCACAGAUCUAGCCUACAUCGUCAUUGGCAUUCACGUACCAGAGCUGCGUUUCAAUCGACUGAUGCGCUUCUCACGCCUGUUUGAGUUCUUUGAUCGCACCGAGACCCGCACAAAUUACCCCAACAUUUUCCGCAUUUGCAUCUUGGUGCUCUAUAUCCUAGUCAUCAUUCACUGGAAUGCCUGCAUUUACUUUGCCAUCUCCAAGUCUCUGGGCUUUGGAUCUGACCAGUGGGUCUACCCAAACAUUUCUGACCCUGAGUUUGGGACACUCACACGAGGAUACGUCUACUGCCUCUACUGGUCAACUCUCACGUUGACAACCAUUGGGGAAAUGCCGGCUCCGGUGCGGGAUGAGGAGUAUCUUUUUGUUGUUUUUGAUUUCCUUGUUGGUGUUCUCAUUUUCGCCACCAUUGUUGGUAAUGUAGGAGCCAUGAUAUCAAACAUGAAUGCCACACGGACUGAGUUCCAAGCUCACAUCGACGCCAUCAAACACUACAUGCAGUUCAGAAAGGUCAGCAAAGAGCUAGAAGCUAGAGUCAUCAAAUGGUUUGACUACUUGUGGACCAACAAGAAAGCAAUUGAUGAGCAGGAUGUCCUAAAAAAUCUGCCCAACAAACUGCGGGCUGAGAUUGCUAUAAAUGUGCACUUAGAAACGUUGAAGAAGGUCCGUAUCUUCCAGGACUGUGAGGCAGGGCUUUUGGUGGAACUGGUGCUCAAGCUGCGGCCACAGGUCUUCAGCCCCGGAGACUACAUCUGCCGAAAGGGAGACAUAGGAAAAGAAAUGUACAUCAUAAAAGAGGGUCGCCUUGCUGUUGUGGCUGAUGACGGGGUGACCCAGUAUGCACACUUGACGGGUGGCAGCUGUUUUGGUGAGAUUAGCAUCCUCAACAUCAAAGGUAGCAAAAUGGGUAACCGCCGCACAGCUAACAUCCGUAGCAUUGGCUACUCUGACCUCUUUUGUUUGUCAAAGGAUGACCUGAUGGAGGCUGUAAUGGAGUAUCCAGAUGCUAAGAAAGUUCUGGAAGAGAGAGGAAGACAGAUUCUUCUGAAAGAGGGUCUGCUGGAGGAGUUGGAGGCUGGUGGAAUGGGAGAAGAACGGGUUGAGGAUAAAGUGGAGAGGUUGGAAGCUUCUCUUGAAAUACUUCAGACUCGGUUUGCUCGGUUACUGGCUGAGUACACAGCUACUCAACAGCGGCUAAAGCAGAGACUUGCAGCAUUGGAAUGUAGGACACAUCACUCUGGCAGCGGAUUCCUGUCAGAUGGCAAUGAAAGCACUAUUGAUGGUGAUGGUACACACAGUGAGGUCAACAUCCAACUCUGAGCACUUGCUUUUAAGAGAGAACCUUGUACACUAGUCUUAAUGACCACUCAAUAGCAAUAACAUAUGAACUCUUUACAACAAUUAUAGCAGUCAAAACAGUUAGUAUGCUUGUGGAAUUGUCUCAUUUAUAUUUAGUAUAAAUGCCAUUUAACAAACCUCAGUUAAACAUAAAAUAAGAUAAUUUCCUGAAGUUUUUGCCCAUGCAUCCUUUGUUUGCUUGUGAUGUUUUGCUAAUUAAAAAAGUUUACCAAAUAAAAAUGAACAGCAUAAAUAUCAUUAAACUCUUCUAGAAAAGAAAAAAAUAAAUAAAAUCCUUCUAAAAGAUUUUUUUUAUUAUUAUUAUUCUUCAUGGAGUGGGACCCCCACUAACAUGCAAUUUACUGAGUUACAAAUAAUACUGAUAGGGGUGGUGACAUUGCUAAAAUAAACCUAUAAUAAGAUAUAUGUUCACUGGUAGGUAUACAUUUUUGAGUAACAUUUCCUUCGCAGUAAUGCCAGUGUUAGCUGCAUUACUUUUUUCCUAAUUUUACUGAUUUAUGGUAAUAUCAUGGAAAUAUUUACCUGAUUUGUGAAUGUAAUUUUGUAAUCUGAAUAUGAUGAGAUAAAAAGCAUGCACAUGACUUGUCCUAGCAAGCAAUAACAAAAGGCUUGUUCGAGAUGCAUUGGCGCUGCGCAGACCAAUCGGCGUAUGACAUCAAAGUACCGUGAGAGCGACUGGAGAGCAUACUACUCCUUAUGCUUUUGAAUUUCUCUCAUGGUACUUUGAUGUCAUACGCCGAUCGGUCUGCACAGUGCCGAUGCAUCUCAAACAAGCCUAAACAAUGUCUGAUUCGCAAAUGAAUCAUUUGAGCAGCUUCUUUUAAUGAUUUAUUGGUUUGAAUCAGUUUGACUAAAAGAAUUCAAUGUGUUUUGGGGCAGAAAUGUCCUGCAAUAGUGUGUGGUGCCAUUCAGUUGUAAUAUUGUAUUGAUAUUUAAAUAAAAAGUAUGUUAAAAUGUUUUAAAUUUUAUUGAUUACUUGCAGGCUGUUACAAAUAUUCAGUUGAGUUUGUUCUUAGUUUCGUUUUAAUGGACUUUUAUUUUGUAUAUAUUAGUUUCCUGUGUUCCUUUGUUCUUUUCCCCCUUCUCUCGUGUUGUCAUGGUUACUAAUGUCAUUGGUUUGUUUAGUUCAGCUGUGUUACAUUGAUUACCCUGUUGGUCAGUAUACUUAAGUUUGUCAACUUGCUUAUGUAUACUUAAGCCUUUUCCUGUGUUUAGUGUCCGCUUGUCCUUGGCAAAUACAGCAUUCACUAAGAUAAACCUCAAUUAUCAGUGGUCAUGUGACAACAAUGUAGCACACAUUUAUAAUUGCAUAAGGCAUAUUGUUUUAAAUAUUAAUAAAUUUUCUUUUAAAUAGUAGGCCUAAGCAAUUACAGCAUAUAACAAGUAAAUGUUUGUAUCAUUCUGAACAUAAUGCUGCCUCCUGGAAUGUUUCUAUUUACAAGUUUAGAAAUUGUCAUGAUGUUGUGAUGUGCAUUCAAGUGAUAUUGGUCAAAAUAAAAUGAACACAAUUCUUCCUCUC